UACGUAGGCGGAAAUUAAGUCAGUGGUGAAAUCCUGCAGCUUAACUGUAGAACUGUCAUUGAUACUGGUUUCUUGAAUGUAGUUGAGGUAGGCGGAAUGUGUAAUGUAGCGGUGAAAUGCUUAGAUAUUACACAGAACACCGAUUGCGAAGGCAGCUUACUAAACUACGAUUGACGCUGAGGUACGAAAGCGUGGGGAGCGAACA
rnacentral:rRNA from 1 species